rnacentral:lncRNA from 1 species
UGAAGAGAUUUUCAUCCCCACUUCAUUUUUUUUGAAAUAAAAGGAUGAUAUUAAUAAAUGAAAAUUACAAAGUCAUUACAUAGUCCCUAAGGACAUUAGCAUUGCCAAACUUGGCAAGUUUGUUACACACAGAAGAAACAACAUACGUAGAACUAAUACUAAGACCAUGUUUAUCCUUUGACAAUUGAGGUUCACUGCUUCCUUCGCCAAGAGAUGGGCCACAACAUUUCCUUACCUGAAGUUAUGUAUUAGGGUUGGGAGCUUCAGCUGGUGCAUUAACCACCUGCAUUCAAAAAUUAGAUUAGAGAGGUUUUGGUUAUUCUCAUAGAGAAGUGUUAUAAUAUCCAUUGAAUCUGUCUCUAUUUCUAUUUUUGGGAACCUCAUUUCCUGAGAAAUUUUUAAUCCUUCAUGGAGAGCCAUUAAUUCACAUUGUAUGACUGAUGAAGCAUAAGUUGAUUUGCAGAAGCCAACGAUCCAAUCUACAUUGUUGUUUCUAAAUACACCACCAAGGCCAGCUUCUAGUGUAUUUUUUGAGAAGGCACUGUCAAUGUUUAUCUUGAUAAUAUCUGUUGGGAGUUUAUACCAUUUGAUCUCAAUUAAAAACCUGCUUUCUUUGAAGGGGUUCUUUUCCGUGAAGAAAUUAUAUUCCCAGUCUUAUUGUAAAACAUCGGUGGAUUGAACCUCUUAACUAAGGUUGUUGAUGUUGUUAUUAUUUCUAUUUUUUCAGAUAUUCCAAAUGGAGAAAGGAAAUAUGGUUUUCCAGUUGCUAGCAUGCUUACUAUUAUGAAUAAAAUUUUCUUUUAGACUAAUCAUCCAGUGUGAAGCAUCAUUUAAAGGGUCAGUGGGGAUGCCCAUAUUUUUCAAAAAAAAAAAAAAACUUUGUGCCAGGGUAGUGGAGAAAAAUGUGUUGUGCAUCUUUUAAAUCUUCCCUACAAACUGUACAAGAGUUGGCUAUAUUAAUGCCAAUGCAGAAUAAGAAAGCUCUACAAGGAAUGUGGUUAUACAUGCAUUUCCAAAAGAAGAGUUUGAUUUUGUUUGGAUAUUAUAAAUCCCAAAUCCAGUCAAAGGCGGAUUUUGGUGUUGUGGUAGGAUUUAUAAGUUUAUGGCACGACUUAAUGGAAAAGAAACCAUUAGAAGUGACACCCUAGCUCAUAAUAUCCUUUUCAAAGACCUUGUUAAGGAUAGGAGAUGCGGCAAUCUUGUUCAAAUUGUGAAUCCAAUUUGAGUUCCAAAUGUUGAUUUUUGAAUAAAAGUGAGGGUGCCACAAGAUGCCUUCACUGCAAAAUUUCCAACCUUUUAGGAUAGAUUUCCAAAUAAAAGAUGUGGUGUUGGUUGAUUUUUUAUGAAAUACUUGUGCGAGAUGAGUUGAGCCCAUUGGAUGGUAGGGUUUUGUAACAGUCUCCAAGAGAGGCCUCUUAGUAGGGUUAAGUUUUUGGUUGAUGCCUUAUGUAUGCCAAGGCCUCCUUCCUGUUUACUACUAGUGACAGUUUUCCAGUUGACUAAGUGGAGUUUUUUGAGGUGUUGGUACUUCCCCAAAUGAAAUCCUUUUGUAUUUUAUCAAUUUGAUUUAGGAUUUUUACUGGGAGAUAAGUAUAUUGCAUGGAAUGAGUGGGGAUAACAUUAAGCGUGCUGGUCGCAAGGGUUGUUCUACCAGUCAUAUUGAGGAAAGAACAUUUCCAAUGCGAUAUUUUGUUGUGUAAUUUGUCUACUAUGAAUUGAAAGUCUCUAGGUUUAGGACUAUUAUUUAAAAUUGGAAAGCCUAGGUAUUUCUCAAAUUCAUGACUAACUUUCAUUCCAAACAGGCUUGGGAAGUAACUUGAAGUAUCAAGAGGACAAUUUUUUGGGAGGGUGAUUUUAGAUUUGAUAAAAUUGAUGGAUAGACCUGACUCUAGGCAGAAAAAUCCAUAUAGGAUUGAAUGUAAUAGCCAAAUUUUUUGUUGGCCUUACCCGUUAAAGUUAUAUCAUCCGUAAAUAAAACAUGGGAGAAAGAGGUACCUUUAUGAGAGAUUUUAAUCGGUCCCAAUUUAAAGUGUCUAUUUGAUAAUUAAUAAGUUUUGAGAGUAAUUCUAAGCAUAUGAUGAAAUUCUAAGAGGAUAGGGGGUCUCCUUGGCGGAUACCCCUACUGGGACUAACGAAAUCAGUAGUUGUAUCAUUAACAAGAAUUCCUAUUGAGCUGGUACACAUAUAUGUCACACCUCCUUUUUUUCUACACCCCCGAAAGGGCGUAAAAGAGUUUUUCCAAUUAAAGGACAAUCAAAACGAGAUUAUUAUUAAAAGAUUCAGAGUCUCCACUUGGGAGAUUUAUGCUAUCCCAAAUCACCGGUUGAAUCCCGAAUCGAGGAAAGGAUUGACUCUGUAUUACAGUCCGCGAACCAGACAUCCGAGUAAGAAAUUCUGUUAACCCGGGAGAAGGUGUUAGGCAUUCCCGAGUUUCGUGGUUCUGGCAUGGUUGCUCAACUGUUGUAUUUGGCUUAUUUAUCCCAUUUUAGUACAUGUUUUAGCCUAUGUGCAUUUUUUACCUUAAAACCGCUUUUAUUUAAAUGUUUUUAGGAAGAUUCAAUGUCACAUAAAAUGCGUCUUGAACCACGUCACAUAAAUGCACCCGCAAUUCGCAACACAUUUUAUUUAACGUUGUUGAGAUUUGGAUUUUGGAUCACAUAAAUGCGCACCCGAGUUUAGAAAUUAAGCAUCACAACUACGUCACGGAAACCGUACCCGUAGUCACGAUGAUACUUUAUGCCAGAGCUGAAAGAGAACCUUUAAUCCUUGGCCAAAAUUCCAUUGGAUAGUAAGAACAAAUAAGACUGUUUGCUAGCAAGAAAGAGGGGACGGAAAUUUUCCCCGCUUGAAACUAUUAAAAAUGUCUUGAAGAUAUUGCACAUGCUAUAUAAUAGAGAGAUUAAAAAAAACAAUUAACGAUAUAGCUAGUUCACACUCAGUCCCAAAGAUAAAAAAAAAAAACAAAAAAACAAAGCGCCAUCAGGCUCUAUGCAAAUAUAUUCUAUCAUUUUAUUCAUGACUCUACCUUAAUUUAAAUUUCUAGUUAAUGUUUAACUUAAGGCAGUGGAAGGGACAUCGUCGCAUCGAUUCAAUCUUUUUACUCAAUAAUGCAAGACAAAAACAGUUACAACAUAAAACACCAAUUAAUCUUUGAAAAGUUAAAAAGCAGCAUACAUCUAAAACCAGUAAACAAAACUAAUAUUUUUUUGUCAAAUCAACAGUAUAGAAAGGUGAAAUCUUUAAUAAAGGCAAUAAGCUAAAAGGGGAAAAUAGAAACACCAGUGCAAGUGGACAUUUAAUACACUUAAGGAUAUUCAGUGAGAGCUAAACAAUUGCCAGUUUAAAGGGGUUAACACUAGUGCCUGAAGCAUGCAAAUAGAUUUAAUUUCUAAUGUUCACCAGCUUGCUUAAUAUUAAAUCAAACUGACUCUCUAAGAUCGAAUCAUAUUUAAUUAUCGCCUACCCCAUGAAGUGAUUAUUAAUUGACUACACUUAACAAAGUUAUCAGCUAACAAACUCAAGAGAAUACACCAUUUUGAACAGAUUAUAGAUUGAUAGUGAGACAAGCAAAACAAUGUCAUAGCAACCAUGAUCAUCCAAACCUUAAACAAGAACACACAGAUGAAGCUUAAGAGGGUGAUGAAGUGUGAAAUGGACCUUUAUGUGUAGCUUUUCAAUAGUAGAAUUUCUUUAAGAAACAAAUUUACACUCGAAAUGUAACAAACCGCGGAUGAAAUUCAAAUCGGAAACCGGUAGGCAGUGCCUCAACGCACGACUGAAACAGACUCCUUUCACAAUGACCUCCGGUGACCUCGAAAAUCGCCGGAAAACUCGAACUAAACUAGAAAACGAAACCAGCAAACUCUAUGACAGUAACGGGUGUUUUUUCUUGUGUGUUUUCUCGCUGGGUUUGGAGCUGGUUUUGACAGCGGCUGGCGGGGAGGUUCCGGGGUUUUGUGUUGAAGAAGAAGGGUGUUGAAGAUUGAAGAUGAAGCAACAGGCACGUCUAUGGUGUUCUAGCGUUUUCGUUAGAGAUAGGGGUCUUUUUUGUGUGUAUUUUUGCUGCACAAGAUAGGGUCUCCAGAAGAUGAAGCUCGAAGGUUGAUGCUUGCUUGUGGCUGCGGCGGCUGUUCAUGGUCAAGCCAUGUUAGGUUCAAGCUCCUAAGGUUUCCAUGGCUGCUUCUUUGUGUGUGUAGAAGAAAACGGUUGGGGGGGGGGGGAGGGGGUUCUUUUGAAAAGCUGCGCAGCUGAGUAUAUU